UACGUAGGGUGCGAGCGUUGUCCGGAAUUACUGGGCGUAAAGAGCUCGUAGGUGGUUUGUCGCGUUGUUCGUGAAAACUCACAGCUCAACUGUGGGCGUGCGGGCGAUACGGGCAGACUGGAGUACUGCAGGGGAGACUGGAAUUCCUGGUGUAGCGGUGGAAUGCGCAGAUAUCAGGAGGAACACCGGUGGCGAAGGCGGGUCUCUGGGCCGUAACUGACGCUGAGGAGCGAAAGCAUGGGGAGCGAACAGG
rnacentral:rRNA from 1 species